rnacentral:rRNA from 1 species
UACGGAAGGGGCAAGCGUUGUUCGGAAUUAUUGGGCGUAAAGCGUCCGCAGGUGGCACCUCAAGUCUGCUGUCAAAGACCGGGGCUUAACCCCAGAAAGGCAGUGGAAACUGAAGUGCUAGAGUGCAGUAGGGGGUAGAGGGGAAUUCCCGGGUGUAGCGGUGAAAAUGCGUAGAGGAUCGGGGAAGAACAUCGGGUGGCGAAAGCGGUUCUGACUAGAUCCCUAGGUACCUGGCACUGAGGGGAACCGAAAGCUAGGGGGAGCGAAUGGGAUUAAGAUA